rnacentral:lncRNA from 1 species
AUGCUGCCGUGCUCCGAGGGGCGACAACCCGAGGGGCGAGCACCACCCGGGCGCGCGAUGCUCUGCAGGACAGCGAGGUCCGCGGUAUCAGUAUGCCUAACACUUCAUUGUUUAAGCCCUUAUACAACUUCCAGCCUUAGAGAGGGAGUUUCUAAGCCCGUGGGCUCUCUGAACUCCGCAAGCCCGAAGCAAGAAGCGCGUUUCCUCGGCCGCAACACAGCGCACGUCCCGCUCCCAAGCCCUCACGGGGGCUGCACGGCCACGCGAGCGGGGGGGCUCCAGCUACGGCCCCGCUCGCGGCUCGGGGACGGAGCCGCCCCGGGAGAGCGCCGGCAGCGCCCCGCCGGGGGGCAGCCCCGCCGCCUGCCGGCCUCACCCCGCGCCCCGGCACCGCCGGCGGAGCCCAAGCAGGAAGCGCCGGGCCGGGCCCCGCCGCCGGGAGCAGCUCCGCCGCCGCCGCCACCGCCACCGCCGGGGCUCGGCGCCGCCCGCACGGCCACACGGGGCGGGGGGGGGGACAGGCGGCGGGCGAGGCGGCGGCACCCCGCUCCGCUUUACCUCGCAGCAGCAGCAGCAGAAGCAGCAACAGCGGCGGCGGCGCCUCCCUCCCUUCUCCGGGGCAGCCGCCGCCGCGUCGCUCCGCUCCUCCGCAGCCCGUCUGCUCCGUCCCGUGCCGAGCCGAGCCGAGCCGAGCCGUGCCGAGCCGAGCCGCUCCCCGCUUCCCCCGGCCGCGCUCGCCGACCCAGUGCCGGGCUGCGCGCUGCCCGCCGCCGCCGCUGCCUCCGCUCCGCCUUCGAGCCGCCCGGCGGCCGCCCCCUGCCUGACGGCGGCCGAGGGGCGGUGCCGCUGCCUCGCCGCCGCCCGCCGGGCCCCCGGGAGCCGCUGCCGCCCGGCUGGGGCUCGCCGAGGGGCUCGGGGUGUCGCCCUCGAGGGGCUCCUCCCGCUCUGCGCUGCCCGCCGCUCGCCAACCUGCGGCCGCCCCGAGCCGUCGGGGGCCCGGCGACCUUGCCAAGCGCCCGGCAGCCCCGGCCUGGCGAGGGCAGAGGCGAAUGGGCGGGGGUGGCGGCUGUCUGA